UAUUACUUUUUAUUUGAUAAGCAGUAAAACCACAGAGCUCACAUGGAGCACAGUUUAUAUGUGCCCUCUGUUAAUUGCGCAUUCACAUUUGCAAUAUAAAGACUCAGUACUUGCUUCUUUUGGAAAUAAUGGUGGCCGGUACGGAGCAGCAGGGAGGGGGGCCCAGCUGUGUGUUUCAGCAUGUCUGCACAUAUGUUUUCAAUCCUGGAAUAAUCCCAUUAUAUGGUCAUUUUAGCCUGGUGUUUUUGCCUUCAUCUCACUUCUUUUUAAGGCUUAACACUUUUCCAGUUGAUUGAGCUGGCAUCAAUCACACUAAUAUGCAGCAAUAAUGUUCCUGUUAAAAAUUAUGGAGGAUCCAUGUAGCUCAGGGCGCUGAGGACAGGCUCUCAGGUCCUCUGCCCUCUCUGCUGGGGUUGGAAAGCUGAACGGGGGCAUGUUCUCCAUGAGUGUCAUGGGGGUAUUUGCUGGCCACAGCAACCUGCAGCAGAGAGAAAUUGCCCUUCAUUGGGUUCCUAAGCCUCCUGCAGCUUGGGGAUACGGCUAUCGAUGUGGUUACCUUUGCAGCCCUCUCGUGCUGUUGAAGGUUACAGCUUUAAGAAACAAGAGCCUUACAUGCAAGUUUGUGAAGUGCUACUACCAGCAACACAUCAAGGAUAAACUGUCUCCAAUUACCUGCUUUGCUUACGCCAACAACUGCCAUAUAUUAGAAAUCAAACCAGCCACAGAAAACCACACUAUUAAGCUGCUUUCUUGUAAUCAUUAAUUAUGAAGAUACCAUCACUCAUGUUUCUAAUCUGUGAACUGUCCUGCAGUAAUUGAUUUUUUUUUUUUUUUUUAAUUCAGGGAAUUGUAAUGGUGGGGCUGCAAACAAGGUUGGCAAGAGAUUCCUGCAGGGACCCAGUCCCACAGGUCUGAGCCGGUGAAACCUCCUGCUGGUGACCGAUGAGGGCCAGCGUAGAGCCUGCAUGGGUACAGUUCCUUGAGUAGCAAGUUUUUCUUGACUUGCAUAUGUGCACAAAGGCCAUUCCUGUUCUUAAACAAAAGGAUGCAGCUGAGCUAACGCUUUCCCAAGCUGAAGGUGAGUCCUAAUUUCUUUUUCAAAUUGCAGUUUUAGAUUCCUUUGAGCUGCUGAGAAUGAAGAGGUUUUUUCCCGUGUGAGCCAGCACAAGUCACCCGCUCAGCCUGCUCAAAGGGGUGGUCGGCACGAUUGCGUAUUUUUGUAGCCUUCUGCCACUGCCGGCCUCGUCACUGCUCUGCAUGAUCAGUUGUUUGCCCCACUCUGUUAGAUUUUCUUGGGGGAUAUUUGAAGCCAUGGUGAUUUGUGCCUUUUUGUCUCAUUUUCCCGCACUGCGCUGCUAUUAAUUUUUUUACACUAGAGAAGAUGAUGACCAGGAGAUCUGAGGCCUCUGGGUGAAAUUCAUCCUCUGCAAAUAGAGUUAAAAUGAACACUCAGCUGGGCAUGGACCUUUCCUGUCUUUCAGCAUAUUUUCAGGGCAGAUUAAGCUAAAUGUAUUUUCAUGUAUAGGAUUUCCCAUUCACAUCAGUGGAUGUUUCAGUUAACCUGAUGAGGUUUCUAUGAACUAUAGGACUUGAGAGGCUUGAAGAGAGUAUUUGAGACUGUUUUUCCCUUUGACAUGGUGCAGUUGUGAAUGGCUCAGUACCAGGCUGAUAGCGGUAACUCUGUUUUAAAAGGAGUUAAGUUAUAAGGUUUGGGCAGUUCCUUGUUUGUUUUGAAUCAGCUUCAAAAUCAGCAGGCUCCCCAGUUUACACCACCAGCAUCUGGCUGGGCACAAUUUUAAUGUGCAGCUUCAAGUUGCAAACGGAAUUGAAAAUUUCCAACAUAUGGUGCUGGAUUCAUAAGUGGUAAUUGCAUCAGCUUAGGAUCAAUGGAGCAGAAUAAUAUCUGCCCACUAAUAAUGGCUUAAUAAAAUUAGUAGCAUUGGCCCUGCCGUGAAUUAUUUUAAAAGAGAGGUUGUAGAAUAGUAAUGUAAACAAUCAUUGAUUUUUCUUGGAGAAGUAGAGCACUGUAAAUUAAGUAUGACUCUUCUCACUGUGUAGUAGGUAGCAGGCAAUGCAGUGAAUCUGUCAGAUUACUUAAAAGGUGAGCGUAGAGGGAAAAACCGAACUGGGCCUGUGUGAUGUUUGGGAGGCGAUAGAUAAAUGAAAUGAGCCUGGAUCAAUCAGAAGAUGAAAGCUCAAAGCUACAUGGCGCUUAAUAUUGCUGAGAUCCAACAUGACCCAAUUAAUAACACAUUAGUACAGGCCAGGUCUGUUUGGUUGCUCAGGUCUGUUAAUUGAAAUACUGCGAUUAAUGGUAUGGAAGGAGAUGAGGGAUAUGUAGGAAAACGAAAGGAGCCUGCAGCUGGGAGUGGGCACGCUCGCAGGCAGCGGGGAGAGGAUGAGGAUGGCUGGGGAGGCAGAGCGACUGCUGGGGCAAUGAACGUACCCAGCUGCCUCUGACAGCCGGAGGGGCGAGGGUUGAAAGUGGGCUGGCUCCACUUGAUCCUAGGAAGUCUCUUGCAAUUUUUGGAGGUAUCUUUAAGAAACUUGGUCAUCUGGCCUGAUGUCCCUAUGUGAAUGGUUUUUCACCUGGCUACUGUCGAAAAAUGCUAUCCACGACGGUGAACUUGCUCGUGCAUCUCAACCAUGAGCCCACUGCUGGGAACGAGGGGGAAUCACAGGGUCUCGUGGCUGGGAGCCGUCCCCAACCUUUUUCAUGGACUUGGGGAAACUGCUUUCGCUGCAUGGGCUGGCAUUGGUGACAAAUCGGGUUUUCAAAGCCAAUUCGUCAGGCUGAAUCUGGCUACAGUCAGUGGCGUUGCAAGCUGGCCACGAGUCUGGCCUGCCGGGUCGCUGCGCGUUUUGUUGCUGCCUCCACGCACGGGCCCAUCACUGCCAUGCGGGGCAGGCAGAGGAGUAAGUCGGGGCCAAGUCGUCACCGGGUAUGAAACAGCACAGCUCUGCUCAUGUCAGCUGAUAUGGAUCCAGCGCCUAUUUUUCUUCUUUUCUUCCACAGACUAAUUUUCAUGUCGAUCCUAAUUAAACCCCAAAGCCUAUUGUCUCCAGGACAAUUCCAAGGACAUCUGCUGGUCAGGGCUUUGCAGAAGAGCAGUGAUUUGGAAAUGUGGCCUGGAGCAGUGUGAUAGCACCUUGGAGCCCAGCCUUAAUUAUAGCAAAUUACCAGAAAGAGCUAUAUAAUGAUUUAAGCUGUUACCAUUUCCAGAAUAAUUUGGCUGUAAAAUUGCCUUCAGUUGUCAUUUUUGCCUUACAUCAGUGCUUCUGCUCCAACGCGGGGCUCGACGGCAGGGCAGGUGGGCGCGUUUCUGUAAACAUCCCAAUCACCUACCUUGCAAAAACAAUUCUUCCUUUUCCUUCCACUUCAGUACGCAAACUGCUAUCGGGGAGGGAGGUGGCAAACGGCCCUUCUGGCGAGCGAGGAGGGACGAGCAGUUUAUCUCAGGUCACGUAGCUGCAGCACUUGCCCAGGAUGGCUGGAGAUGAAACAGUUGCUCACCGCUGCCCUGUUUUUUCCAAAUGCCUUAAACCCGACUUGGGGAUUUGUUCCACCGCAUAAAUCAAGGCUUUCUCUAGUGGAGAGCUGCCAGUGCCAGGAGGACAGGAAGACCCCCCACGGAGAGCACGGGUUCAGCAAAAGGACCUAGGUGGAUCCUUCUGGACUGCAGCAGAGUCUGGCCCCGUGUCGGAGGCCGCAGGGAAGGAUAUGGCAUUGCGGCAAGGUCUGCCCCAACAGCCAGGACGGUCCUUUCUGGUGCCUCGGCCCCCAGCGUUUGUGAUCGCCUUGUGAAGGUGCUGGGUGAGCUCGUCCCCUUCAUGUGCGCCCUUGUAUCCCUGCAGGCAGCGGCCACCCAUGCAGCCCUGGGAGCUUGCCUUUGAUUCAAGAAGAAGCCUGCAAAUGCCCAAAGCCGUGACUUUUUGGCAGACUGUGUGGCUAAUGUGGGCUGUCUGGGGGCUUUGCUCCUUGCAGAGGUUGCGUUAGCCUCAGUAAUUGCGUUCGGCCCAGCUGAGACAAUAGGACAGAACUACAAAAGCAGCCGCAACUGCAGAGAAAUGGGUUCAGAAGGAAGAGUUGAAGCAUGACUUUUAAAGUGGGGUAAAAUAAAUGAUCAAGAGGAAGGACCCACAGCUACUCAAUGAGACAUUCCUUAAAUCCUUUGUUUCCAUUUCAGAUGAUAAAGGAAAAUCAUUAGGGCUCAAUUAGUCAUGAAACACGGGGGGUCUCUCUGCAUCACGCUAGCUUGAGACAGCAACUGAUGUUCAAGAGUGCAUCUUCCACAGCCCCUAUGAGAUCAUUAAAUGUCAAACACUUUA